rnacentral:rRNA from 1 species
UACGAAGGGGGCUAGCGUUGUUCGGAAUUAUUGGGCGUAAAGCGCGUGUAGGCGGCUUUGCAAGUCGGGUGUGAAAGCCCUCAGCUCAACUGAGGAAGUGCGCCCGAAACUGCAGAGCUUGAGUACCGGAGAGGAUGGCGGAAUUCCCCAAGUAGAGGUGAAAUUCGUAGAUAUGGGGAGGAACACCGGUGGCGAAGGCGGCCAUCUGGACGGAUACUGACGCUGAGACGCGAAAGCGUGGGUAGCAAACAGG